AUGGACCUAGAGGCGGUGCCAGUUAGGAAGGCUUGCACAGAAAUGUUGAAACGCGCGACUCGCCAACAACGAUAUAGGCUCAAGAAAGAGUAUUUUGAUCCUCACGCACCCCAUUUGGUGAGGAGAACUUCUCCGGUCCCCUCGAUGACUGAUGACCAGUGGAACGAGCUAGUGGAAAGCUGGAAGGAUCCCAAAAAGAUGGUCCUGGGAUAUCUCAAAUUAACAAAGCUAAUCGAGCUCAAGUUAAGUUCCACCAAACUACUGGAGCGCGCAGCUACCCUGUGCACUGUGGAAAUAUGGUAA
rnacentral:rRNA from 1 species